GAGUAGAUUUAUUAGCUGCUGCCGCUCCGGAUCAGACAGUUGCGAUCCAAUUUGGACCGUUUUCUCAGGAUCCUCUUCUUUUAGUGGGAUAAAAAUCAGUUGUUCGACUGGUUCACCCCUCUCUUCAUUUUCUCUUUGGUCCAAUUUAUCGAUGAACAAAGAGUCUUUAGAUUGAUUAUUUUGUGUGGAAACGAGAAAGCAGCAUCAGACAAGUUGUUGAUCUCCACGCAUAUCUCCGAUUUCAUUUCUUGUUGGAAAUCAGACUAACAGAUGAUAAGUUGAGACUACUGCUCUCAGGGUAUUCAGUCUAGAUCGUCCGAGUAUGACAUUAUAAGUCGAGAGAACUCGGACAAUGGUGAAUAUCACGAGAAUAGUACUCUAUUGUGCUUCAACUCCUAUGGUUAAUGGGAGAGUGAUUUUUUCUUUCACAGUAACCGCAUCUCCAGUGAAGCCGACUAAUGACGUCGAGACUCUCCUGAGUCGAUCAGUCGGCAGUCGCAUUCGAAAGAAAGUCGAAUAAAAUAAAACAUCCAACAAGCUUCCAUUAUCCACUAAAAAUUUUUUUACAUCAUAAUUUGCUAUCAUUUUUAAAACAAUGAUAGCAUCAUCAUGGGGAGUUUAUAUUUUUCGAACAUCAUCUUUCGAAAAACUAAUUAC
rnacentral:lncRNA from 1 species